AGACGGAAGUGGGGCAAAGCCACCAAAUCUCAUAUUUUCACAAGGAAAAGAGGGCUGCGCGAUUCUGCUCGGUCCGCUUUCCACCAGCCCCUCGCCGGCGCGACUCUCCGCAAAGUUCAGGGGGGUCUUCUCGGCGCGACGGGGCGAAAAGCACAGCCGAGCCGACCAAAAGGAGGCUCCUCUUCAUUUAAAGAAGAGAGUCGGGGGGAGAAAAAAGGAAAGGAAAAGCGCUGCCUUUCCCCAGCCAGGCAUCCCCUCCCACCUCCAUUCAAGCCAGUCUGCGAGUCACAAACACACACACACACUCACAAACAGGCGCACACGCGCGCACACUCGCCCACCAGCCCUCCCGGUCCCCUCCCCCCCACAAACAACAAAUUUGCUAAUCAAUCUGAAGCAAGGACGGAGGGAGAGCGAGAGCCUCGAAGGGAGUUAAUAGCACCCGAGUGUCUUGAAAGGUGUCCAACAAGCAGCAAAACCGGCGGCGGCGGCGGCGGCGGCGCCUGGCGUCCGGGAACUCCGCUCCUUUCUGUCCAUAGCCAGCCCCCUCCCCUCUUUUCCAAAAAAAUAAAAAUAAAGAUUUUUUUUUGGCUUCUUCCUUUGCCAACAGGAACCAGGCUUAAUGCAAGGGGGGGGGGAACAAAAAUCUGCGGCUUUUCCCAAACGGUGACGCGGCGGUGUCUUUUUUUAUUAUUAUUAUUUCCUUCCCCUUCCUCUCUGUCUCCGCUCCGGCCCCUGAACCGCGAAGGACGAGGAUUUGGAAAAAGAAAAAAAGCUCCCAAAAAUAAAAGAUUAUUUCUUCUCUUCUUCAAGGUUACUUUGCGAGGUUGUUUGUUUGUUUUUUGUUCUCCUCCCUCGCUUGUCUCCGCGUCUUCCUCUCCUUUUCCCCUCGAAUUCUUCUUCUCCUCCUUAUUUUCUUUUGCUUUUUUCCUUGCUUGCCUGGGCUUUUUCCAAGGUGGCGGUGGUGGUGGUGGGCACGGCAGCCGCGAGCGCGCUCACAUCCUCGCCGCUCCACGCUCCGACCCAGACUGA
rnacentral:lncRNA from 1 species